AUUGAACGCUGGCGGCAGGCCUAACACAUGCCAGUCGAGCGGAUGAAGGGAGCUUGCUCCUGGAUUCAGCGGCGGACGGGUGAGUAAUGCCUAGGAAUCUGCCUGGUAGUGGGGGAUAACGUCCGGAAACGGGCGCUAAUACCGCAUACGUCCUGAGGGAGAAAGUGGGGGAUCUUCGGACCUCACGCUAUCAGAUGAGCCUAGGUCGGAUUAGCUAGUUGGUGGGGUAAAGGCCUACCAAGGCGACGAUCCUAACUGGUCUGAGAGGAUGAUCAGUCACACUGGAACUGAGACACGGUCCAGACUCCUACGGGAGGCAGCAGUGGGGAAUAUUGGACAAUGGGCGAAAGCCUGAUCCAGCCAUGCCGCGUGUGUGAAGAAGGUCUUCGGAUUGUAAAGCACUUUAAGUUGGGAGGAAGGGCAGUAAGUUAAUACCUUGCUGUUUUGACGUUACCAACAGAAUAAGCACCGGCUAACUUCGUG
rnacentral:rRNA from 1 species